rnacentral:lncRNA from 1 species
CAACAUUUUUAUCAAACCACAUUUAUAUCUUCAAUAUAAAAAUAAGGAGAUGUGAUAUGAUUGUCAAAGUUCAAAAAAUAAAUGAUUUAAGCAAUUAGUCGGCUAUAAAAGGUCCCGACAUGAAAAAUAAGAAUCAAUACCUUUCGAAUUUAACUGACGGCCUAAUUCAUAAUAAAACAAUUUACGAAAAAUAUAUAUGACAGACAUGAACCAACGACAACCACUGAACUACGAGCUCUUGACUUGAAACAGGUACAUAAAGAAUUUGGCAGGGUUAAAAAUGUCUGUGUGCGCUCAUUUCUCCCCAAAACUAGCACAGCACAAGACCAAACUAUAAAAAAUCAGAUGAAUGAUCGGAUCAUCAUACUAUUAUUGACGAUAUCAGACCAGGUGCGGAUCCCGCCUUUCUGCAAAAGGGGGAUCCAAACCACGGAACACACUGAAACGUCCACAAAAUAAAAAAAAAUAAUCGGAAAAAAUGGGGUUUCAACCACC